GUAUAUGAAGGCAUGUACAUGACAGUUUAAAUAAUGUAUGAGCAAUAGACAGAACAAUGGAAUACAGGCUGAAGACACUGCUGCUGCUGCAGGAAACAUCCAUACACAGAGAAGAUGAAAAGUUUGCAGGGCACACAGACACCGGAGAAACUGAGCGACCUAUCUCAGCAUUUUCGAAGAGACAGAGACGAGUGCAGAAAACCAUUCUAGUGGUAAUGAAGUUAAUGCAGAGACAACACUAAAUGUGUUAGCCUGUGAGGGAAUAUUGAGAAGGAUGAGAGACUCAAGUGGUAUGUAUGCUGAAAAACAGUACUGUUAUUUUAGCAUU